GUGGAAAUAUAUUUCCAGAGCUCCCUCCGUUUGACAUGCAGUACUGGAAGAGGUCAGAGGGAGAGAAGACUGGCUGCAAUGAACAAAGUAGGAAUUUCAGAAAGCAGGGGUGUAUUGUGUCAAAUUGGUGUUCGAUGAAAUCCCAGAAAGGGAGGGAUCAAUAUUAUGUGCCGCAAAAAGCCAAUGACAAUGCCAAUAAGGGAGACCAAGAGCUCCUCAAGAAAUGACGUACUCAUGCUAGGACCAUGCAGGAGAGGAACAUCUUAGAACACAAGCAAGAAAGGUGUGAGAGACAUAUGAGAGGGGAGGUAUGCCUGUUUUGUAAUCCACUAUUUUUUUCACAUACCUGAAGUACACUUCUCAACCAGAAGAGGGCAACA